CCGUUAGGCCACUAUUUGUUGCAUAUUAGUUUCUCAUCCGGAGCUUCACCUAAAGUUGAUGCGGGCGGGCGGGCCAUUACCAUUAUGCCAUUAUUUGCCGGAUGUCCCCUCUCCAUAAAUAUUACUUUGAAAAAGUGCGCAUUUAGCAUUUAUAGCAUUGCAAAACAGCACAAAAUUAGUGAGUGCAACUGAAACCAUGUUUUCAUAUUAAAAACAUGGCCGCUCCAAAUGAUCACAUGUGAAAUAAU